CAGCAAGAAGACUAGUGUGAUAGGGUGGCUCUUAUAUAGCCCUCAGUGACCCCACCUGUUGUUACUCAGGACCUAGUGUCAUGCUUUCCCCUAGAGUAACUAUCUUGUAACCAAUAAAAUACAGCAACAUUGAGAGGAUGUCCCUUUUCUACUUAAGUCACAAAAGAUGCUGACUUUGUCUUGCUUGUGGAUUCUCUCUCUCUCCCUUGUCUCAUUAGCCUUGAUGAAACAAGGGGCGUGUUGGAGAGGCCUAUGUGGCAAGAAACUGAGGGUAGCUUCUUGCCAACAGCCAGCAAGGAAUGGAAGCUCUCAGUGCAACAGCGCUUAUGAAACUGAAUCCUCUUAACGACCACGUCGGUGAGCUCGGAAGUGGAUUUUUCUCCAUCUGAGUCUUCAGAUUACAUCAGAAAAAUCCCAACUGGAGGCCAUUCUAUAAAAUGCAUGAGCUGCCUUAAUGUCAAGGUCAUCAAAAAAAAGGUUCACAGGUGCUGUGAUGUCUUUCACAGGCAAUGGAUAAAGCAUCCUGCAUUGUCCUAGGCACACUCUGUAGGGAAGAUAUGGGAAUCUGAAGUCAACUUUGCCAAAAUUGGUAAAAGAGAUCAUUUAAAUGGCUUCCAGAGUUCUGGAUGAACAGUUUCUUCAAGAAGGAAUUUGGUGAGGAUUGCUAAUGUGAGAUGAGAAUCUACUCACAAACAUUAAGAAGGUAACAUGAUGAGUGAAGUAAAGGUAGGUUAUAGUUGAAAGAGCCAC
rnacentral:lncRNA from 10 species